ACAACUAGUCCCAAAAACAACCAGCUAGUAAUGACGGAUCUUGCCAUCCAGUUUUGAGGGAAUUUCACCAUUGGAUUUCCUAAAAAAGUGAGCCAGCCGUUCAGCAUCGGAUUUGGCAACAAUUCAAUCCAAGGAAGUUUUGAAUAUUUCAAGUUUUGCUUCCCGAAUCGAAGUUUCAUUAAAAUCAUUCCCAUACAAACUGCAAUUGAAAGUAACAUCCACGCGUUCAAGGUGAAUGGUUUGAACAACUUUUCCAAUGAUGUAAAAUUCCGUCCCGGUGGAAUGGCAAUCACAAACUUGCUGAUAAAAUGUGACAUCCCAGCCUUUAGAUAGAACGAUCGUUGAGCAGAAAUUCCAACAGAACCAAACCCCACAUCAACCAAUUCGUCCUGAAUCAGGCCCAUCAGUCCAGUGCUGUUUUGAGGCUCGAUAAAACCCCAUCGCAUAUUGUUUUCCGGAUAAAUGAACUGCACGGUGAAGUUAUGCAUUUUAGCCACUGUUUGCACUAUUCGAACUUCUGUUCCAUCGUAAAAUGUGUUGCCAUCAUGAUCAUUUUUAGGUAUUGUAAACGGUUCCAAAGGAUACGUGCCAACCUUCAACUGACACAGGUUCAUAUUAUUAAACUGAUUCGAAAACAACGAACGAUCCUGAGAUUCAGCUUUGCCAUCCUUCGAUACCAUCACCAACUCUGGGUUGACGUUUGCACAGUCUUUAUUGCGAAAGGGACGAUAUGUGUAAACUUCGAUCUGAUUAAAAGUACUCGGUGCUAUAAAUAGCACAUUGAAAAUUUGUUUCCGACGUAAACAGUUGAAAACUCCUUCUACUAGUUCAGAUCCGUUUCUAAGAACAUGUUGAUAAACUACAGUGUACAUUCCCGUUGAAUCGUACUCAAAAGCAUUAAAAGAUUGACAUAUUUUUUUGAAUGAUGGUAAUGAUCCGAAUAGUAUUACAUUGUAAAACGAUUGAUGUACUCUGUUUUUUUGCUGUCCAUUUCUUAUAAUGAUCGGUAAUUGGUAACUAUACAAAUGUAACACUUCUUUUAAGAUAUCGAGUUGCUCAUUUUUUUCAAUGGCAUCUUCGCCAGAAAAGUUGAUCAGAACACUUUUGUGGACGUCUGCAUACAUGUUUAGUAUAUGCGCGAGCGUGAAACUGAUUUGAUGUGAAUGAAUUUUAUCAAAUAAGAAAAACCAGUUCAGAACCACGAAUGCAAGUCGAACCAUCCUGUACUAAGUAUCAGAGAACACUGCUUCCAUUGAAAAGCUAGCAAUGUGGAACUAGGCUUAGUAAUCUAUAUGUCUAUUACAAUCAUAAGCCAGUAUAUAUUUCUUAAUUUUCGUUCUUAAAAGAACAAACAGUAUUAUGUACUAUUAGAAUGUAACAACACUGACUGGAGCGAGAUUGUAAUCAACAUUGGCUGGUGUUGCACCUUCAAAAAUUUAAUGCAAUUAAACUCUGGAUUUUUUUUUAGAAUUGCCUCUUUUGGGGCUCUUUGGCCGUUUAGCGUUUUUUUUAUUACAAGAUACAAGCUCCUGAAUCUCCACAAAUAAAUAAAUUUCGUUACACCCUUAUUUACUAAAAAACUCCUUGGAAAUAGUUAAACUACAACCUUGCCGGAAUGUUUUAAAAACAAAUUGAUCAAUAUCAUUUACUUAUUGAAAGUUCCGCAUUUAGAUAUUCUGCAUAGAUUUUUCUUAGAUAAAUUUAUAUUACCAUUCAGUUUUUUUUUACUUCAGUAUUUUAUAAGUGCAGAAACUAACGUAGAUGGGACUAUCUUUCAAAACCUGACCUGAGGGAGAGUCUACAAUUACCUGGGACAUCAAAUUUAUUAGUUGAAAGAAAAUUUUACAAAAGAAACUGAUGAAUCUGAUAGGUGGCUCCGUCUGAAGAACUCUAUGCCCGCAAAGAUUCACUGAGGUAUGGUGAGGAAUGUUUGCACAUCAAAAAAAUUGGCAACAAGAUAUGGUAAAAAAUCAUUACCUGAUGGGUUGUUCAGAUUAAACAGUUCAUCCACAACAAAUAGUUUCAAACACGCAAUCUCAUAUAGAUCCACGUGCUUUGCAAUCAAAUAUCGUGUGACACGUGCUGUGUAUUCAUGUCAUGUAAAACAAUUUGUAAAUUUCAUGUCAAUCGGACAUGGUGUCAAUCUCAUCAAACCAGUUCAUCAUGAAAUUCGUCUGUGUUCUGUCACAAGUUUUAACCUUAACGCAGGCAAUCCUGAAAGAAGACUAUCUUUAUAAUAGAAAGCUCAAUUUUAACGUACAAACAAUAGUGUCGAUAUUGAAUGAGUAUUACGUAAACAAUCACUUACCAACCCAAAUAAGCUAUUCAGUGUCAGAUGCUAAGUUAGUUUACAAGCAGAAUGAUUUAAUAAACAGUGUGCUCAAAUAUGCAAGCGAGAAUUCAAACAUAUUAUUCCACUUGGCACAUUUCAAGCAACGUACAACAUUUUUCUAUAACCUCAUAUUCAUUGAUGAUCUCUGUGCGUUCCGAAGUGUGCUUUUAUUGCUAAAUAGUGGAAUAUACAACUUUUCCGGCCUCUAUACGGUAGUCAUCACUGGUUUAUUCGAUGAAGCACUAAUACAAGAAAUUUUAGCAAAGUUGUGGUCCAUAAAAAUUACAAAUGCAAUCAUUUUAACAAUAAGCCACUCUGACGUUCAUGAAACAAUCUCAAUGUACACAUAUUUUCCAUUUGAAAAGAACAAUUGCGGCCAGGUGAAUCCAGUUUUAUUAACAAAUUUAAAGUCACACAAUGAUUUUAACAAAAAUGACAUUUUAUUUCCAAAUAAAUGGGAAAAUUUACACAACUGUACUUUAAAAGCUGGCACGUUCGAAAUUAAACCCUUCAUAAUCAUGGAUUAUUCAAACGGAGAUUUUGAACGCAAUAUUGACGGUUUUGAGGCAAAACUCAUAGAAAUAGUUCAACGUAAGCUUAAUUUCCAAAUCCAAUAUCAUUUUCCGGCGAUUGGAACACAAUGGGGUUUUAUUGGAGAAAACAAUAGCACUGGUCUAAUGAAAAUGAUCCAAUCUGGACAAGUCGACUUUGGAAUUGCAAGCAUCGCAUUAACGGCAGAUCGUAGUGAGUUUCUUCAAGCAGGGUCAGCUCAUUACACUUCCAAAAUUGUAUUUGCUAUUCCUGAUGGACGAUUGUACACUCCUCUUGAGAAACUAUUCCGACCGUUUAAAACGUCCAUGUGGUAUGCUGUCGUAUUUUGCUUGACAUCAGUUGCUUGUUCGGUAGCUGCAUUUUACCGACUUGGAUCUCAUCGAUUACUUAACCUUAAUGAAUCCAGAUCUCCUGUCAUGAACAUUUUCAGCGUAUUUUUUGGUGGGCCAAGUUCACAAGUUCCAGAACAAAAUUGUGCCCGUAUGGUGCUCUUUUCAUGGAUAUACUACUGCUUUAUCAUUCGCACUGUCUACCAAAGCUUAUUAUUUCAAUAUUUACAACAAGAACAAAGAUGGCCUGAAGUAGAAACCAUAGAAGAUAUUGAAAGAGAAGGAUUAACAUAUUAUAUGGCGGAUAUAGCACAAAGAUUCUUCAUCAACGCGCCACAUGUUCUCGAAAGAACUCAAAUUUUACCACAUGAAUCCGACUAUUUAAGUAAGGCACUAGAGCGAUUAGCACGAAAUGAAAUCUACGGAGUUGUUUGUGUUAUACUCAAUAAUAUUGCUUAUCACAACAAAUUUAAAGCUCAUAUAGGCGUAAUUCAUGCAAUGACUAACCCCAUCCUGACGUAUUCUAUUGCUAUGCACUAUCCCAAAAAUUCUCCGUUGGCAGAACAUUUUGAUAAGAUAAUCAACAAACUUCAGCCAAGUGGAAUUGCAGACUAUUGGGCAAACAACUAUGGAAAUAAUGCAUUCCUUCAUCAAAUCAAGCAAACUUACAACGUUCCUAAACCUUUAACCAAUGCUCAAUUGAUAGGAUUGUACAAAGUAUCUGCGCUUCUUCUAAGUAUUGCAAUUAUUGUUUUCUUGUGUGAACUAUUCACAUUUUGGAUUUCAUCAAUGCAUUAAAAUUAAAAAAAAAUAAUAAUUCAGGAUAUAGACACCAAAAAACACACAACAAAAACAAAAUCAGAUAUCAUGAAAAAAGAAGCAUUUACACUCAAUGGAAAGCUAUUGAAAUGGUAUAAAAAAUUUCCACAACUUCGUGUGACUAUUGUACAAUUAAUUAUUUUACAGAAAGCAAACAUGAACAUGAUCAACGGGUAACGACUUGACAGUUAUUUUUCCAGAAUUAAAUCGUAUCCUGACAAUGACAAUGCGAUUUUACAUUCGUACCAAUCAGUCAAUCAUGAAAGCUCUAUUAGUGUUGACCAUCUACACUGUCACAGUGAAAUCGAAUCUGAUUUCCAAUAAGUCUCAAAAUGAAUACAUGAAAAUUAUUCAAUUGUAUUCUAGUUCCAUUUUGUAUAUAAUUGAUAAUUAUUAUGAAAGUUCAAUUUAUCCAAUAUAUGUGUUAUACAAUGGUAUGGAGUCAGAUACAAUGUUAUUCCAGCAAGAUAUUUCAAAUGCAAUGUUAGGCAGUGCAAGUAAAAAUUCGAACAAUAUAUUCUAUAUAUCGUGCGAACAACUUGGACUACCAAUUUAUCAUAGUGUCAUGUUCAUUGAAAGCUAUGAUUCCCUUAGAAAAUCUUAUUCCAAUUUCGAUAAUUACCACUCAUCGGGCCGGCACACUAUCAUUUUGAAUAGUAGCAGUACUUCUAAGCAAAUUUCACUGAAAACCCUUUUCAAAAACUUGUGGUCCUCAAACAUUACAAAUGUCGUUGUUCUAUCAAAUAUAGACAAUAAUAGAAGUAUUGAAAUUUACACUUAUUUUCCUUUUCAUGAGGAAAACUGUGAUCGAAUAGAAUCCACCAUUUUAACGAAAUUUUAUCUCGAUAAUCCUCCCGACAAAAAUAUCAUUUUAUUUCCAAAUCGUUUGACAAAUUUUCACAAUUGUUCCGUAAAAGUUGGAACGUUUGACGUAAAGCCUUAUAUAAUCGAAGAACCAGAAAAUAACAAAAUCAAAUUUAGUGGCAUAGAAGCUAGACUAGUUCAAAUUGUAUCGCAGAAAUUAAACUUCAACAUCGUGUACCAAUCUCCAACUAAUAAUGUUCAGUGGGGAUUUAUCCGUCAAGAGAACAGCACUGGCCUUAUGAAAAUGAUUCAAACAAAAGAGGUAGAUCUCGGGGUGGCAUGCAUCGCCUUGUCACCCCCUCGUAGUCAGUACCUUCAAUCAGGAGUGCCUCAUUACAUUUCUAAAAUACUGUUCGCCAUUCCUGACGGUCGUUUGUAUACGCCACUGGAGAAGAUUGUCCGACCGUUGGAAACAGACACGUGGUUCGCGCUGGGAUUUAGUCUGAUUUCGUUCAUAUGUUCAACAAUACUUAUCCAUCGAAGCUCUCAACACCAUUUCAAGAUGAAACCUGUACUAAUCAUCAAUAUUCUGAACAUGUUGUUUGGUGGCUCCAAUCCCAAUCCACCUCGCCAAAACUAUGCAAGAAUACUACUGUUUUGGUGGAUUUAUUUUUCUUUCCUAAUUCGAACGAUUUAUCAAGGACUGUUGUUUAAAUAUCUCCAACAUGACCAAAGAUGGCCCAGAUUAGAAACCAUUUCGGAUGCUGAAAAGGAAGGACUUACAUUUUAUAUGGUAGACGUUGCGGAAAGAUACUUUACUCACAGUCCGGAAGUGCUCAGAAGAACAUCAUUUCUACCACAUGAAACCGACAAUGUGAUCCUUGCAUUGGAGCAGAUGGCACAGCAUGAAAUCAAAGGAGUUGUUCUUGUAUCAUUAAAUCACAUUGCUUACCACAACAAAUUCAAUUCAAAAUUAGGAAUUAUCUACGCUAUGAUCGAUCCAGUUGCCACUUACUCUGUCGCGGUUCACUAUCCAAGAAAUUCACCGUUAGUGGAUAUUUUUGAUAGAAUAUUCCUUCAGCUGCAAGCUACUGGCAUUGUAAACUAUUGGGCCAAUAAGUAUGGAGAUUACGCAUUUUUGGCCAUGAAAUUGGACAACCCUGCUGAACCAACACCGCUGGGAAAUAACCAUCUCGCAGGAUUAUACAUAAUAUUCUCAAUUUCUAUGUUUAUCGCUACAGUGGUGUUUAUUGGUGAAAUUCUGUCUGCACAAUUGAGGGAAUUGUUUUAUCGAAAGUUUUGUUUGUGAAGAUAGAAUAAGAUUUUAUUAUAAAUAGAAUCACAUACUUAAAAAUCAAUUAAAAUUUAAAAAAAUUGAAAAGAACUCCAUGUAUUUUCUCAUUUAAUUUGCAUGACUUGGCAAAGUAAAAAAAAAAAAAAAACAAAAAAAUAUAAAUACACCGUCUUGAAAAAUGCCACCGGGGACGACUGGAAUUGACCCUAGGCCGCUCACCACUAAACCAUACAAAAGUGAGAAACAAGAACACAAAUCAGAUGAAAGAUGUUUAACCAAGGCUGUGGAGUCGGAGUUUGGAGGAGUCAGGUACUUUUAGGACCCUGAAUCGGUGUUGACAAAUUCUAAGAGAUUUUAAGUGUCCGAGUUGGCUUAUCCUCACCAAAUUUGUAUAGGAGUUGUUUUUGGAGUCGGAUCCGGUCGAUUCUAUUUGGAGAGUCGUAGUCGAAGAGCUAGAAUCGGAGUCGCUAAAUCUCCAGAAGACGGAUAUUUUCAGCAUCUGGAAUCGGAGUCAGAGUCACUGAGAAACCUACCUGACGCUUCCGUAGAGCGGUUUAAAUUUAACUUUUAGUACCGUAAUCUGGGGUGAAUCGGGACUACAGUCUGAAUAGGGACAGCAGUUUUUAGAGCACUUAAAGCUUUUAAAUUUGGAAAUGGUUGUACACAUUUUGUUGGCCUGAGUCUGUUCUAACCGAAACCAACCAGAAAAAUCAAAAUAUUGUGCUCCAACAUGGUUAAAACUGCUGUCCCAAUUCGCCCUAUGUGUCCCGAUUGACCCCAGUUUACGGUAGUUUAUUACUACAGGGCUGAGUUGUAUGGGUGUACUGAAAUCAAAUCCCGGAAAUAAGCCAGGAUAAAAACUCAAACAUCUCAAGCCAAGUAGUUUUUCUAUACAUUUUUGCAUGGUUAAAGUCACUACUAGUGCUAAAAACAUGAGCGAGGGUAAGUAGAAAGACAUCAUCAACUUAACAUUCCAACGCCCAAGGCUCC